ACGCACGUGUGAAACUUGAAGGAAUUGACGGAAGGGCACCACAAGAACGCGUGGAGCAUGUGGCUUAAUUUGACCCAACGCGGGAAAUCUUACCGGGUCCGGACACACUGAGGAUUGACAGGCAAAAUUAUUUAUAUGCCUAAUUUAUUAGGUAUUUUAUAUGCAAAUAUGCUAGUCCUUUCAUGAUUAUGUGAUAGGUGGUGCAUGGCCGUUCUUAGUUCGUGGAGUGAUCUGUCUGCUUAAUUGCGUUUCACCAAGGGCUUAUAAAAAACGUACGUUGUGGCGCUUCGAUCCCGCUUUUUAUUAAGUGUGUGGUCUUAGCGUUUUGCGCGCACAAACAGGCCCUGAAAGCAACGAACGUGACCG
rnacentral:rRNA from 1 species